rnacentral:rRNA from 1 species
UACAGAGGGGGCAAGCGUUGUUCGGAAUUACUGGGCGUAAAGGGCGCGUAGGCGGCCCGCUAAGUCGAACGUGAAAUCCCCGAGCUCAACUCGGGAACUGCGUCCGAUACUGGCGGGCUUGAAUCCGGGAGAGGGAUGCGGAAUUCCAGGUGUAGCGGUGAAAUGUGUAGAUAUCUGGAGGAACACCGGUGGCGAAGGCGGCAUCCUGGACCGGCAUUGACGCUGAGGCGCGAAAGCUAGGGGAGCAAACGGG